AGUGAACGCUGGCGGUAGGCCUAACACAUGCAAGUCGAACGGCAGCACAGUAAGAGCUUGCUCUUACGGGUGGCGAGUGGCGGACGGGUGAGGAAUACAUCGGAAUCUACUUUUUCGUGGGGGAUAACGUAGGGAAACUUACGCUAAUACAGCAUACGACCUACGGGUGAAAGCAGGGGAUCUUCGGACCUUGCGCGAUUGAAUGAGCCGAUGUCGGAUUAGCUAGUUGGCGGGGUAAAGGCCCACCAAGGCGACGAUCCGUAGCGGGUCUGAGAGGAUGAUCAGCCACACUGGAACUGAGACACGGUCCAGACUCCUACGGGAGGCAGCAGUGGGGAAUAUUGGACAAUGGGCGCAAGCCUGAUCCAGCCAUACCGCGUGAGUGAAGAAGGCCUUCGGGUUGUAAAGCCCUUUUGUUGGGAAAGAAAAGCAGCAGGUUAAUACCCCGCUGUUCUGACGGUACCCAAAGAAUAAGCACCGGCUAACUUCGUG
rnacentral:rRNA from 1 species